GAAGCCGGGCAGCGGGAAGCCACAGCACCUCCAGGGCCCAGCCCUGGCGAGCUGGGUCCCCCAGCCUCCCCUACCGGUCUUUGCUAGACCUGGAAAGUGUGUGUCUAACCGUGUGUCUCUGGAGGGAGGUGGAAGUCAGAGACACUGCGGUGGAGGCACGUUUUGCUGAGGGCCGGAGCAGAGACAAUACCUCGCUCUGUCGCCAAGGUUGAAGUGCAGUGGCACCAUCAUUGCUCAAUGUAACCUCCAAUUCAAGCCAUCCUUCUGCCUCAGCCUCUCAAAUAGCUGGGACUACAGUGUGCCACUAUGCCCAGCUAAGUUUUUUUAUUUUUGGUAGGGACAGGGUCUUGCUAUGUUGCCCAGGCCAAUCUCAAAAUUCUGGGUUUAAGUGAUCGUCCCACUGGGCCAUCCAAAAUGCUGAGAUUAUAGGCGUGAGCACCGAACCUGGUCUAGUUUGGUGAAUUUUAUCAUAUGUGAAUUAUAUCUCAAUUUUUUCAAAAAGUAUACUCACAAGCCAAAAUCCAGCUAUAAAGGGGAAGGACAGGGUACUAGCGGAGGCUCUCUCAGGGAAACUGGCCUCACCUAGGGUCUAGGAAGCCCCUAAAGAAGCAGGAAGGGCAAAGGGCCAGCAAAAGAGCUUUCCAGGCAAAAGGAGCAGCUAGUGCAAAAGCCCCGUGGUGGAAGGGUUCGGGGGAUGGAUCCAGAGUGGGCAGAAAGGCAAGGGUGCCUGGGGGUACAAAGCAGAGCAGCAGGGCACAGGGUGGCUCUUGGGGAGGUGGGCUCAGCCCCCAAGAGAUCUCUCACCUGCCCCCUGCCCAUUCAGUAAGCCCCUAUUAGAGCAUCAUAGACAAUUGUCCCUCGGUAUGCGCGUGGGGGAUUGCUUCCAGGAACCCACCCACUUCCAUAUACCCAAAUCUGCACCUACUCAAGUCCUGCAGUGGGCCCUGCGGAAUCUGGCCCUCCGUAUAUUAAUACAGGGGUUUCACAGCCUGUGAAUACUGUAUUUUUUAUCUGUGUUUGGUUGAGAAAAUGCAGAGUAGACCCAUGCAGUUCAAACCUGUGUUGUUCAAGGGUCAACUGUCUUUGGUUCGAUGAUUUCUGCAGUGUUGUCUUCUUAUAUUAUCCUUGCAACUUUUUAAUAUUUUAGUUAAAUGUUUUAGAUUAACUUUUUCAAUGUAAAAAAAUUGCCCUCAACCCUACCCCUCCUCCCAACUUAUGCGAAUUCAAACACUCUUGGAAAGGGGACUCAGUUGGACCUUUCACUUCAGAGCCCAGCAUGGUAUCCUAAGUGGAAAGAGCUGGAGCUGGAAUCAGAUGGGAGAAAUGGGUCCCCAGGUGCUGCCAGUUAUUCAUUGGGUGACACUGAGCACAGUUCACAGCCUCUUUGAACCUCACUUUCUUCAUAUGAAAAAUGGGUUAAUCCAUUGUUGUUACAAAGAUUAAGUGAGAUAAUAUGAGGCAAAGGGCUUUGCUGAGGGCCUAGAGGUGAUACAAGUUCAAAAAGUAUUAGCUGCUGUUACUAUUACUGUAAGGUAUCCUGAUCUUCCACAGCCCCCUCCCCGAGGAAUUGUUAAUGCCUUAACAAUUCUAACAGUUACUAUUUAUGGAGUUCAUAUUAUAUACUAAAGGUUUACAUACGUUAAUAUAGUCCUUAUUAGCAACCCACGACUAGAGGUACUGUUGAUAUUCCCAUUUCAAAGAUGAGGAAACUGAGCUAAAAGAAGUUGUUAUAUGCCCAAGGCUAUGUGGCUAAGCAAUGGUUGAGGCAGAAUCCAAACGAAUCUGAGCUUUUGCUCCUUCGAAUCACCCCAGGCUGCCUUUUCUGACUCCUCUCUACCUGCCUUACUCCCCUCCCACCUGUCUGUAAAACAUAGAUCCUCCAAGAAGCCUUCCAGGAUUUCAUUCCAGGGCAGACUGUGACCUGCCUCAUCUGUGCUUUUAAAACACAAUUAAGCUGGGGCACAGUGGCUCAUGCCUGUAACCCUAGCACUUUGGGAGGCCGAGGCAGGAGGAUUACUCAAGCCCAGAAGUUUGGGAUCAGCCUGGGUAAUGUUGCAAGGCCUUGUCUCUACAAAACCUA